ACCAACGUUCAUACCGCACUGAUUAAACUCGUUCUCGUCCGAUCACGAAAGUUAAGCAGUGCUGGGCACGGAUAGUACUUAGAUGGGUGGGGGGGUGCCGCUUGGGAACUCCGUGUGAUGUUGGUU
rnacentral:rRNA from 1 species